rnacentral:rRNA from 1 species
GAUGAACGCUGGCGGCGUGCUUAACACAUGCAAGUCGAACGAAGCAUUUUACUGAAUUCUCUUCGGGGGUGAAGGUAAAAUGACUUAGUGGCGGACGGGUGAGUAACGCGUGGGUAACCUGCCUUAUACAGGGGGAUAACAGCUGGAAACGGCUGCUAACACCGCAUAAGCGCACAGUGUCGCAUGGCACAGUGUGAAAAUAUUUAUAGGUAUAAGAUGGACCCGCGUCUGAUUAGCUAGUUGGUGAGGUAAUGGCUCACCAAGGCGACGAUCAGUAGCCGGCUUGAGAGAGUGAACGGCCACAUUGGGACUGAGACACGGCCCAAACUCCUACGGGAGGCAGCAGUGGGGAAUAUUGCACAAUGGGGGAAACCCUGAUGCAGCGACGCCGCGUGAGUGAAGAAGUAUUUCGGUAUGUAAAGCUCUAUCAGCAGGGACGAUAAUGACGGUACCUGACUAAGAAGCCCCGGCUAACUACGUGCCAGCCGCCGCAGUAAGAC